rnacentral:rRNA from 1 species
AGUGAACGCUGGCGGUAGGCCUAACACAUGCAAGUCGAACGGCAGCACAGUAAGAGCUUGCUCUUACGGGUGGCGAGUGGCGGACGGGUGAGGAAUACAUCGGAAUCUACUUUUUCGUGGGGGAUAACGUCGGGAAACUUACGCUAAUACCGCAUACGACCUACGGGUGAAAGCAGGGGAUCUUCGGACCUUGCGCGAUUGACUGAGCCGAUGUCGGAUUAGCUAGUUGGCGGGGUAAAGGCCCACCAAGGCGACGAUCCGUAGCUGGUCUGAGAGGAUGAUCAGCCACACUGGAACUGAGACACGGUCCAGACUCCUACGGGAGGCAGCAGUGGGGAGUAUUGGACAAUGGGCGCAAGCCUGAUCCAGCCAUACCGCGUGGGUGAAGAAGGCCUUCGGGUUGUAAAGCCCUUUUGUUGGGAAAGAAAAGCAGCAGGUUAAUACCCCGCUGUUCUGACGGUACCCAAAGAAUAAGCACCGGCUAACUUCGUG